AUAAAUACUGGCCACCAAGAUCUGGUCGCCCCCCCCCCCCCCCCCCAGGGACAAGGAGAUCCUCACGUACACCAAGUGAUGCUAUGUGACCUUGCUCCUUCAUUUAACACUAUUGGUUGACUAAAGAUGCCGACAGCCUAUAGCUGGCCAGAAGAGAGGUCACCUUUUCCUAUUCAGCAAAAAGGAAGACGGCCCUGCCUUGCUCCAGGCCAUAAAAAGACAUCUGGAAAGAAAGGACAACUUAAGGUCAUUGGUGUUGAUGUCACUAUCAGCAACGAACCAGGAGGCUGACGUUAAGAUUCCGCUCUGUACCUUUACAGAAUUUGGCGGAAACUGCUGAUUUCGGUACAUCACAGCCACCCACUACGGCUGGAUCCAUUCAUGGGUACCAGAAGGAACCCCGCUAUGGAACCAAACCUCCAAUUCAUCUCCCACCCUGCUCCUCACAGCAGUCUCCCAGCAGCUUCAAGUUUCCAGGACAUCGGUACACCCUGUCUAGACUUGUUGCGGGUGCCCUGUCUAGGUGAAGGUGUCAGAAAAAUGUAAAGCCUGCGCAAAUACUUGCCUGGAGUGUCUCUUGAAACAGUUGGUGAACUCUUUGUUUACUGCCUCGAGAAGAAAACAGCGAAGAAGAAACAGAUGGCAACGAUCUUUAGAACCCGAGCAAGGCAUUCACUUUCAAGACAGAUCUUGAACAAUGGUCGCAUCUGUUUCUUCAAAGCCCAGGCAGGCUCGGCGCUGUGGAAUUCAUCCUCGUAUUUGAAUAGAAAGGGGCAUUGUUGGAAGAAUAACUAGACAGCCUUUCAUGUGUUCAGUUUCAAGUCUUUAAUUUUUCAGAUGUAAAGUAUAAUAAAAAGCCUUUCAACCCUUAUCCCCCAACCCCAUUCUCCUAUAAACUUGGUGAAAUCCUACAUCUUGAGCUAAAUGAUUCUGAGAGCCGUUAUUUCCUCCCGGAGCUACACUGCAGACUUCAAGCUAGCAAGAUUAAUGCCAAAAGGUUGCACUGUGCUAUGAACAAUGUCUGAUACCAGAGUCAUUUGUUUUAAAAAAUGAGGUAACGUGUCCGAAUCUGUUGUUAUGGUCACGAUAUUUAUGCAUGUAAGAAUCAAGUUAUUCAUUUCAGACUGGUAACAAGAUGGCGUUCAUGUACCAUUAAGAUAACUUAUGUCAAACACUUGGCAAAACAGUUGAAGCCAUUUCAAUAUUAAUAAUUUACUGCAAAUAUCUAGCUAGGAAAACCAGUAGACAUUAAUUAAUGAUCAAUUAAGAUAGAUUAUUUCUCCUGCUUCUCAUUUGAUUUUCUAAUAACCAAUUUGCCUUUUCCUAAAAUGGAUCAAUAAGGAAUGAAUCCAAGUUGUUUCGUGCUUCCAUUUUCUA